CAGUAUCGUAAUAACCGCAAUUCAUAGAGGUUCGCCACACUCGGGAGGCAGACAACGCCACAAUGGCCAUAGUAAAAACCUAUUCGACGAAAUUGGAUCGUUUACGACGUUGCAUUUGGUGUGGUAGUAUUUUAUAUAAAUUACACGUCUGGGAUGAGCGUCUAGCCCACAACGUUGGGCACUGUAAUUAGAAAACGCUUUCGUGGCUAUCGACAAUUCAAGUGCGGAAGAAUGUUAUAAUUGGUGAUGAACCUGUGGUGAAUCUGAAAAAGGCGUAGUAAAACAUCAUGUUGACAGGGAUAUAAGCAGGGUGAGGCAUGACGGAAAUACUAUGAAAAUUGAAUUGUAAUAACAGGUUGGACAUGGAAAUAGCAGGAAUAGACGGACCCAUGAGACAGCUGGUGAGGGAUGGUUAGGAGACACUCUAGUCCUAACUGUCCCUCCCUCCAAACAGCUAUUAGCAUCUUACCCAUAGAUUACAGUUUCUGGUUUACCUAUUUAAUCGGCUUCAGACACAAAGAAACUACAUCAAAAGAGUUAAACGUUUAGGUUGAAAAAUACUCCGGAGAAGAUUGACAAACGAAACAGCAGGUUUUUUAAUUUCUCACAAGUUUUUUUAAACUUAAUAUAAAAUUUUUAUUUUUAUCAUCAACCAUGCCACAUUCGCUUCCAGCGUAAACUCCUUAGUAUGGCCGUCAAUAGGCGAGUUGCACUGUGAACAUGACGUGAAGACAAACAAGUAAGCAGCAAUUUUACUUUGACUUGAUAGCCGUUAUGCAAUGUUUAAAUGACUUGAGUUUUUUUAUCAGACAUGGGUUCACAAGAUUCCAAAAUCCACAACUCAUGCGUCCUCUUUGGUUAAAGUCUGCACAAAAGUGGGAUAAUCCUGGUUAAUUUGGCAUCAUCCCAAGUGUUCAUUCAAGGACACGUUUAAGCUUUUUUUACUUUGAGCAUUUUGUAUCGGUUAUCUUUGACUUUGCCAAAAGAAAAAAAAAAUUCUGGCCAAGCUUGCAUCUCUAAGCAAAAUUCAUUUUAGUAUGUGUAAACGUAAAAAAAAAUUGUUCUCCUGUAUCUCUCUUUUAAUAAUUAAGCAGCAAAAAUAUACUCUAUUCGAUUCCAUUUGUUAAAAAAUGGCUUUUUAACGUGUAUUUAAUUAUUUUAUUUAUGGAUAUUGGUACAAAAAUAUACAGCAAAUAGAGUAGUUAUAUACAAUAAAAAAAUUUAAAAGAAUUAUUGUUUGUUCUGAAUAAAUGCCAAAUGAGACAAUAUCUGACACUAUUUAUUACAGCUUAAUGCAGUAACAAUUUGAACAUUUAAAUUUCUGCGGAACCACGAUUUUUAUUUUUUAUGUUACUGAUAAGUAUUUUUUACAUCGAGUGCAACAUUAUAAUAUGAACUAGAGUUUGGUUAGAACAACAUUUCGGAUUAGUAUUUUAGAUGGUAUCUAGACCCCAAUUUUAAAGUAUGAUAUUUUAGAAAUUUUGUUAAGGGACAAUCUACUUCAAAGUUUAAUAUUCGUUUAUUUAUAUAUAUAGUUUAAAGUUAAUGAUUUCUAUUUUUUAACAGAGAUAGGACAGAAAAUAUCUUGUUACUUUCGAUCUAAUGGACAAUUAUAAACGCAUGACAUAAAGUAUUAGUACAUCUAAUCGUUAAAAACUAGACUGUCGAGAUUGAGUAAACGUGUUGAAGAUGAUGGACUGACUAGAUGAGGAAGAGUUGCUCAACUCAGGCGAAGAAAGCUUACUCCGUUCUCCGGUGUCGAAAGGAAAUUUCCCAUUCGCAUUUUCAAAUAGCUGUUGUCUAGUAAAAUUUCCAAAUGAAAGAAUACAUCGCUUUCUCUCGACUUGAGAAUAUUUUAUACCUUGUAAAAACACCAUAUGCUUACGUUCAUUAUGGUUUCUUUAAAUUGAAUUUGAACUGGACGAUGCCAAAAAUAAAUUACUUCCUGAUAUCAGUUUGAUACAGUGUCUUUCGAUUGAAGUCUUAAAUUAGGCACCCCGGGCCGUCUUGCUUUCCAACAGUUUUAUAUAAAAGAUGAUGACUCAACAGCAGGAAAUUUUGGGCCGGUUAAUUUAUUAUAACGAUGAAAGAAGAAAGUGUCUUCUUUGCUCUCACUCGGUCCAACCUUGACGCGCCGUGGCACCAGUUUCCCUUUCAGUUGAAGCGAAAGUAGUACUUUCUACCCCACCUUUCCAUAGAACCCCUUGACGAGACAUUUUUCCACCGGUAAAGUUCACACCGGCUGGAGAAUUCGUGGCCAAGGAGUUGAUUUCCUCGCCGGCCUGGAACUUCCCAAUUCGAAAGCCAUGCCCUGGGGCUACCAGGUUGGAAGGCGAUCGGUCAGAGUCGUUCCUAAUGUGCACGUUCUUCGGUAACGAACUCAUUAUUCUACAAAUUUAGAUUUACGGAUUAAACAUUGAACCAAUUCAACUCCCGUUUCUGUUACCACAACACAACAACAUUGAUAUUUGUUCUGUUCGACAUUUAUUUAGCCGAUUAGUUGCAGUUUUACUAGUUGUUAAAAUGUUCUUUUCACACACAACAUUAUUUUUAAAAUUGUAAUAACCCAAUCUCAUUAAAUAACACAAGAACACGCG